rnacentral:rRNA from 1 species
GAUGAACGCUAGCGGCAGGCCUAAUACAUGCAAGUCGAACGGUGUCUUCGGACAUAGUGGCGCACGGGUGCGUACCACGUAUGCAACCUACCUUACAUUGGGGGAUAGCCUUUCGAAAGGGAGAUUAAUACCGCAUAAGACAGUAGCUGGGCAUCCAGCAGCUGUUAAAGAUUUAUCGAUGUAAGCUGGGCAUGCGUCCAAUUAGCUAGUUGGUGAGGUAACGGCUCACCAAGGCAAUGACUGGUAGGGGAACUGAGAGGUCAAUCCCCCACACUGGCCCUGAGAUCCGGGCAAGAUUCGUGCGGGAGGCAGCAAUGGGGAAUAUGGGGCAAUGGCCGCAAGUCUGACCCAGCCAUGCCGCGUGCCGGAUGAAGGCGUUAUGCGUUGUAAACUGCUUUUAUACAGGAAGAAACGACUCUUGCGAGAGGCAUUGACGGUACUGUAUGAAUAAGCACCGGAUAACUCCGUGCCAGCAGCCGCCGUAACAC